CUGCCUUUUGUAUGAAAAAAUUGAACAAACACUUUUUGUUGAUUAUUGAGCUGUGUUCAUUUGUUAUGGUCAUGUAAAGAUUUAUCAUGAGUAUCAACAAAACAAAUUGUACAAGGGAGAUAAUUUCAAAAAAAUCAUUAGGGUAUAAAUGAUAGCUUAUCAUAAAUUUUAAAUUUGCUGAACCCAUUUUCCUCAAAUUGAAGGUUAGUAUAUGAUUAAAGUGCCCCCACCAAAAAACAACAUGAUAUUAUUACAUAUUGAUGUGCUACGAUAAUAUGUAAAUAAAGAGAAGAAAAAAAAAGUUAACAACCA
rnacentral:lncRNA from 1 species